AACGAACGCUGGCGGCAUGCCUAACACAUGCAAGUCGAACGAGACCUUCGGGUCUAGUGGCGCACGGGUGCGUAACGCGUGGGAAUCUGCCCUUCGGUUGGGAAUAACUGAGAGAAAUUUCAGCUAAUACCUUAUAAUGUCUUCGGACCAAAGAUUUAUCGCCGAGGGAUGAGCCCGCGUAGGAUUAGGUAGUUGGUGGGGUAAUGGCCUACCAAGCCGACGAUCCUUAGCUGGUCUGAGAGGAUGAUCAGCCACACUGGGACUGAGACACGGCCCAGACUCCUACGGGAGGCAGCAGUGGGGAAUAUUGGACAAUGGGCGAAAGCCUGGUCCAGCAAUGCCGCGUGAGUGAUGAAGGCCUUAGGGUUGUAAAGCUCUUUUACCCGGGAUGAUAAUGACAGUACCGGGAGAAUAAGCUCCGGCUAACUCCGUG
rnacentral:rRNA from 1 species